rnacentral:rRNA from 1 species
UACGUAGGGGGCAAGCGUUGUCCGGAUUUAUUGGGCGUAAAGAGCGUGUAGGCGGCUUGACAGGUCUGCUGUGAAAACUCGAGGCUCAACCUCGAGAUGUCGGCGGAAACCGUCUGGCUAGAGUCCGGGAAGAGGAGAGUGGAAUUCCUGGUGUAGCGGUGAAAUGCGCAGAUAUCAGGAAGAACACCUAUGGCGAAGGCAGCUCUCUGGGACGGUAUUGACGCUGAGACGCGAAAGCGUGGGGAGCGAACAGG